rnacentral:rRNA from 1 species
ACAGAGGUCUCAAGCGUUGUUCGGAAUCACUGGGCGUAAAGGGUGCGUAGGUGGCGUGGCAAGUCAGAUGUGAAAGCCCGGGGCUCAACUCCGGAACUGCAUCCGAUACUGCCAUGCUUGAGGUUUUGAGGGGGGACUGGAAUUCUCGGUGUAGCAGUGAAAUGCGUAGAUAUCGAGAGGAACACCAGUGGCGAAGGCGAGUCCCUGGAAAACACCUGACACUGAGGCACGAAAGCUAGGGGAGCAAACA